CAUUGUUUUUAAGUUGAUAAAUCACGCUGUUCCUAUAUAUACAUCCUUAUGUCAAGAAAAGCUACGUCAAUUAUCAACAUCACGCGCGAUAGCGUCUGCUUGCUCACAACUGCAGCUGACAUCUGCGCGCGACCACGCCCGACGUUGCUGCCGAGCUCUUGCUUAGCCGCUUGCUUCGCCGGCAUCAGCGUUCUCUCCCCGCAAUGUACACCACAUGAGAAAGAAGCUUUCGCUGCUGCUGCUCUUGCAAAGGCGGCGGGAGCGCAGAAAGCGUCUGCGGCCUCUGCGGCGACGUUGGUGGGUCCGCCCAGUCUUUCAACUGCGUAAAGAAGAAGGACUUUACGGCUAUGCAACGGAUACGUCAGGAUGACCACGGAGUUUUCUACAAGUUCUUUCGCAAGGCGCCGCAGCUCUUGGACAAGCUAUUGAGCUUUUUAGCAGAGGACCUCACACGGCAGCACCACAUUCGAGAAACCCCUGGAGCCUGGAGAAUGACUUGCUGUAGCAUUGAGAAGCAAUGCUUCCUAACAUAUCCAGCCUACGACUGCCUGCUGAAGCCAGCGAUGCUCCUGACUGCGGACUGCUGUGGUGUGCCUCAGAAUCCUCAGGAACCAGAACUUCUUGAAACAUCAGUGAUUCAAGAGAU